rnacentral:rRNA from 1 species
UACGUAGGGGGCAAGCGUUGUCCGGAAUCAUUGGGCGUAAAGCGCGUGUAGGCGGCCCGGUAAGUCCGCUGUGAAAGUCGGGGGCUCAACCCUCGGAUGCCGGUGGAUACUGUCGGGCUAGAGUGCGGGAGAGGCGAGUGGAAUUCCUGGUGUAGCGGUGAAAUGCGCAGAUAUCAGGAGGAACACCAAUUGCGAAGGCAGCUCGCUGGAACGUAACUGACGCUGGAGACGCGAAAGCGUGGG